AUUCAUCUUAAGACAACCAUUUGC
rnacentral:siRNA from 1 species